rnacentral:rRNA from 1 species
UACGUAGGGGGCAAGCGUUGUCCGGAAUCACUGGGCGUAAAGGGUGCGUAGGCGGUGUUGUGGGUCUGAGGUGAAAGGUCGGGGCUCAACCCUGAGAAUGCCUUGGAAACUGCAAGACUUGAGUGCUGGAGAGGCAAGGGGAAUUCCACGUGUAGCGGUGAAAUGCGUAGAGAUGUGGAGGAAUACCAGUGGCGAAGGCGCCUUGCUGGACAGUGACUGACGCUGAGGCACGAAAGCGUGGGGAGCAAACAGG